CCUACGGGAGGCAGCAGUGAGGAAUAUUGGUCAAUGGACGAGAGUCUGAACCAGCCAAGUAGCGUGAAGGAUGAAUGCCCUAUGGGUUGUAAACUUCUUUUAUAUGGGAAUAAAAUGUUCCACGUGUGGGAUUUUGUAUGUACCAUAUGAAUAAGGAUCGGCUAACUCCGUGCCAGCAGCCGCGGUAAUACGGAGGAUCCGAGCGUUAUCCGGAUUUAUUGGGUUUAAAGGGAGCGUAGGUGGAUUGUUAAGUCAGUUGUGAAAGUUUGCGGCUCAACCGUAAAAUUGCAGUUGAAACUGGCAGUCUUGAGUACAGUAGAGGUGUGCGGAAUUCGUGGUGUAGCGGUGAAAUGCUUAGAUAUCACGAAGAACUCCGAUUGCGAAGGCAGUUCACUGGACUGCAACUGACACUGAGGCUCGAAAGUGUGGGUAUCAAACAGGAUUAGAUACCCUAGUAGUC
rnacentral:rRNA from 1 species